GUUUUUUGGAAGAAUACAUCAUGGAAGGGUCUUAAUAUGUGGCAGGGCUCUUAAAUUUAUUUUAAUGUAUUCAAAUUAAGUAUUUUUAAACUGUUGAGUCCAAAGUGAAAAAUUUGGGAAACUUGACAGCUAUCAAUGCUAGGUGGCAUAUUGACCUUAACUAGGAAAUGCUGUUUCUUUGAAAAAGGAAAUAGAAAUGCCCUAUGGCUGUUUCUAGCCUAAAAAACUUUGUGGGGUUCAUUCAAGGCUCUAGAUAUAAUAAAAGGCUGAGAAAACUGAAUAGUGGUAGACAGCAGAGUUCCUGUAAAUUGGACACAAAUAACCAGAGGAGCUGGCCUGUCUCUGUUACCAAAACAGCUCGGGUCCUUUGGGAAGAAAAAGCAAUUUGUUUGGCAGUCCUGCUGAGUGCCAACUGUGAGUCCUCAAAUAUCCUUUCGACAGAACUUUCGCUCCUUCCUCCUCUCUGCUGUCAGCCUUCUCCUGACCCUGGCCUUGCAGAAAUUAUUAAAUCCAGUGUGUAUAACUCGGAGCCUACAACCAAAAUGCUCAGGUCAGUUUAGA
rnacentral:lncRNA from 1 species